CCCGCCCGCGCGCGCCCCUCCCCCUCCGUUCGCCACAACAUUGUAGUAAAUUUCUAUUGGGCCGCGCCGGAGGGAAGGAGGGGGCCGGGCCCGCGGCCCGUCCGCCCAUUGGCUGAGGCCAACUUCUAGCUCCUCUUGUUUCCCCCCUCCCUUAGGCCGGUAAGGAGAGGAGAGGGGAAGGAAAAAGAGGAAAAGGCAAGGGGCCGGCCGCGUGUGCGCACGCGCAAGUCGAACCCGGUCUGGAGCUAGGGUGUUCCGGGAUCCCGCAGCACCCACGUGGGACAUGAGGCGGCUAGAGCCCUGGACGGUGAGGUCCUUUCCUCCUUCCAAGUAAGAGGCCGAGAUGCGGAAGCCUCAGGGAAGUAACUCACGUAGAGGUUGUAGCCAGGACUGACUCUCCCUAACCGCUUAGUGACCUCGGAAGUAUCAGAGACCCCUUGACCCUUCCUACUCCCUGAUAGGCUGGUCUGUGAACAGGCUUCGGACCCACAGUGCAAAAAGAAGGCUUUUGUUUGAAGCAUCAUACCUAGAAGUGAUCUCACUCUGUUGGCCAGGCUGAUAUGUAGUAGCGUGACUACAGCUCACUGC